CCAUUUCUCUCAACUCGCGCAGUCACCACUCAAUGCCCAUUCCUCUCAGCUCAAGCGCCCCCCCAUCCCCUGAUUCCUUCACUGUCAUCACCCCUCAAGCUCGUCCGCCGACCCUCAAGUUCACCGCAGCACAGAAAGAUUGCAGCUCGCCGCUUGUCUCUCGGAUCCCAAGGUCGCUGCACAGAAAGACUGCAGCACGCCGCUACACAGUUGUUCUUUAGCCUUGAAGAAAUGAUGUGGGCAAGUGGAAGGCAAAAAGUUCUCUCUGGCACCUCCUUUGCUUCUUCGGUUUUGGAGCAAUCAUUGCUAGGUACUUGUUCUAAUUUGGUACCAUUAUCACGAUCUAACUCUAUCACCUUGAAGGAGAUAUUGCCAUUUGAAAGACGAUCAAACAACUUACAAAAUAUUGAUUCCCAUGGUUACUUAAGAUUUCCAGUUGGUGCAAGGCCUAUAAGGGAAGUUAUUUCAUUUUGCUGGGUGGAUUGCUCCAUUUCUGUGCUGAGCAGGUCCUUUUCUUCAGAUACGCCUAAAACUUAUGUUCCACCUUCCAAGUCUUCACCAACAGAAGGUGAACGUGAAACAAGAGUAAGAAAGCAUGUUGCAACGAGACUUCCUUUUGUUGAUGCAUUCCUGUUGAAAAUUAAGAAGAAUAAAGAUCUACUUGCUAACAAGAAAAUUUGGUCACGUAGAUCAGUUAUUUUACCAGAAUUUGUUGGUUACACAGUACGGAUUUACAACGGAAGAACUUUUGUCCGUUGUAAGAUAACUGAAGCCAAGGUUGGUCAUAAAUUUGGAGAAUUUGCUUACACACGAAAGCGAAGACUUCUUAGAGCAAGUACUGCAGCAGCAAAAAAGAAAGGGCCCAAGGGGAAAAAGUAAGGCUGUUCAUAUGGGACUGAAGAAUCUGAGUUUGCAAGGAUUUUUAUCUAUUUGCUGAUAGUAACCAAGAAAGUCGCCAAUCUUUUUUUGUUAUCUUAGUCUCUUCUGAAUUAACUCUACAAAACGUGAAUUGACUAUUCUUGGCUUUCAUCAUCUUGAAACUUGUUGAACUAGUUUUUGUGAUUGUAAUUUAUAAUAAGAUGUAAAUUUUUUGUACUUGGUCCUGUGAGGAUUUAAAUCUUUAUGU
rnacentral:misc_RNA from 1 species